UACGUAGGAGGCAAGCGUUGUCCGGAAUUACUGGGCGUAAAGCGCGUGUAGGCGGAUGCCUAAGUCUGUGGUGAAAGCGCCUGGCUUAACCGGGCGAGGUCCAUGGAAACUAGGCGUCUGGAGGCCGGUAGAGGGGGGUGGAAUUCCGGGUGUAGUGGGUGAAAUGCGUAGAGAUCCGGAGGAACACCAGUGGCGAAGGCGGCCCCCUGGGCCGCGCCUGACGCUGAGACGCGAAAGCGCGGGGAGCGAACGGG
rnacentral:rRNA from 1 species